rnacentral:rRNA from 1 species
CCUACGGGAGGCUGCAGUGAGGAAUAUUGGUCAAUGGACGAGAGUCUGAACCAGCCAAGUAGCGUGAAGGAUGACUGCCCUAUGGGUUGUAAACUUCUUUUAUAAAGGAAUAAAACGAGGCACGUGUGCCUUUUUGUAUGUACUUUAUGAAUAAGGAUCGGCUAACUCCGUGCCAGCAGCCGCGGUAAUACGGAGGAUCCGAGCGUUAUCCGGAUUUAUUGGGUUUAAAGGGAGCGUAGAUGGGUUGUUAAGUCAGUUGUGAAAGUUUGCGGCUCAACCGUAAAAUUGCAAUUGAUACUGGCAGUCUUGAGUACAGUUGAGGUGGGCGGAAUUCGUGGUGGAGCGGUGAAAUGCUUAGAUAUCACGAAGAACCCCGAUUGCGAAGGCAGCUUACUAAACUGUGACUGACAUUGAUGCUCGAAAGUGUGGGUAUCAAACAGGAUUAGAUACCCCAGUAGUC